rnacentral:rRNA from 1 species
GUGGGGAAUCUUGCGCAAUGGGCGAAAGCCUGACGCAGCCAUGCCGCGUGAAUGAUGAAGGUCUUAGGAUUGUAAAAUUCUUUCACCGGGGACGAUAAUGACGGUACCCGGAGAAGAAGCUCCGGCUAACUUCGUGCCAGCAGCCGCGGUAAUACGAAGGGGGCUAGCGUUGCUCGGAAUUACUGGGCGGAAAGGGCGCGUAGGCGGACAGCUUAGUCAGAGGUGAAAGCCCAGGGCUCAACCUUGGAAUUGCCUUUGAUACUGGCUGUCUUGAGUUUGGGAGAGGUGAGUGGAACUCCGAGUGUAGAGGUGAAAUUCGUAGAUAUUCGGAAGAACACCAGUGGCGAAGGCGACUCACUGGCCCAAUACUGACGCUGAGGCGCGAAAGCGUGGGGAGCAAACAGGAUUAGAAACCCUGGUAGUCC